rnacentral:rRNA from 1 species
UACAGAGGUCCCAAGCGUUGUUCGGAUUCACUGGGCGUAAAGGGUGCGUAGGCGGUCGGGUAAGUCUGAUGUGAAAUCUCACAGCUUAACUGUGAAACUGCAUUGGAUACUAUCCGGCUCGAGGAAUGGAGGGGAGACUGGAAUACUUGGUGUAGCAGUGAAAUGCGUAGAGAUAUGGAGGAACACCAGUGGCGAAGGCGACUUUCUGGUCUGCAACUGACACUGAGGCGCGAAAGCGUGGGGAGCAAACAGG